ACUGUGGUCCUCCCGGCACCACAGUUUGAGAACCACAGGAGCCAAGUAGCAGUUGCCUUACUUAAAGGAGGAAAAAGGCAAACUCUGUCCCCGAUAGAACCCUUCGAGGAGUCGGCCAGAUGGCUGGACAGAUGCCUGUUGGGUUCAUUAACCGCUGAGCCACGAUGGGGAUUCCUAAAUAGUAAUUUCUUCAUACUGAGUUUCAUCGUGUGAUCCAGGAAGGGCUUCCCUGAGAAGAUGGUGUCUGACCCAAGUCCUGGGAGACGCGGGAGCAGGCUCUGGUUACGGAGACAGCAGGUGUGGGGGCUCCACGGUGGCAGGUGUCGGGUGUGUUUCAGGAAGUAGUGAGGAGACAGUGUGGCCGGGGCGGGGGGGCAAGAGUCGUUCUGGUUGAAAUGAGGUCGCAGGGACCACAGGGACCCAGGUGCCGAAGGCCUCGAGGGUCGUUGUGACGAACUGGGAGGGUUCGUCCUGAGCAGAGAAGUGACAGGGUCUGUGCUGUUGGCCGGUGGUGGCCCAUCGAGGAUCUGCUCCGGUUGUUUCUCUUGUCUUGAUGAAAUAGACACCGACCUAAGAGCUAAGAGGGUGAGGCCGAGGGAGCGUCUGGAGGCUGAGGGUUGGCGCGGGGCCACUGGAGGCGUGUCCCCUCUUGGUGCUUCCCACCUGGCCGCUCCCCGGUCUUCGGGGCCUCACGGUGAGGAGGGCCUCUCCCACGCCACGGCCGGGGGGCCCCAGUGCCAAGACCUGGCCGGCCCUUGCUCUGCUUCCCAGUCCUCUUCUGAGAAAGCCGGCUUGCGGUGGUGUCUUUUCUGGAGCAGGCAGGCGUCAGGUUGAGGUCCGCUAGGCCGGAGAGCAUGGGAAGGGUGAGAAUGAGGCCAGGACGGGAGCAGAAGAGGCUUCAGAAAGACGCUGACAUUUGAACUGGGUAUUUAGGGAGGAAUGGCGGUGGAGGACGGAGAUGAAAGGGGCUGGUUGACUCCAAAAGCCCCGAGGCCCGAACAUUCCCGGCAUGUGCAGGAAAUGGCAGUUAGCUCUGCUGCGAUGGGCCGAGGGCGGGCCCUGCUGAGAGGGGCCUGGGGCCUGGAAGCGAGGGCAGGGCUCUUGGCGGGGCAGGGGGCACGAGGUGCUCAGGCCCCUCGCCCAGAGGCUGGGUUUCCAGACCGGUCGAAACAGCCACGUCUGGGUUUGUAAAACUGGCUUGGAAGCCGGCAGCUUUCCCUUGGCCCGGAAUUGCCUAGCAAGCCCUCACCCCAUUUUAGGCUUUCAGGAAACACUUAGGCCCAGCUUCCACCCUCCGCAGAGUCUGCCCUGAAGUGGAAGAGGACCAUCUGGCAGGAAAAGGGAUGAAAAUGUUGAGCCUGAAAACCCGGACUCGAAGGCCCUUUGGGGAGGAGAGUCCGGGAGGAGGACGUGGGAGUGCUAAGUGGACAGUGACGAGAAGGGAAGAGAGCCUGAUUUUUUUCUAGUUAUUAUUCAACGGCAACAACAAAAAUCUUUUUUUGGGACUGGUCGAGGAGGAUCGCAGCCUCCAGGGGCCUGUAAAACACCCGGCAAUUCUUCGCAUCUCCCAGCAAAGUGCAUCUUGGCCCCUCUCCGCUCGAUCUGGCCCACAAUCCCUCGGCACUUUUGCGGGAAGGGCUUUCUGGACCCGGCACCCCAGCUCCUGGGGCUGGCGUGGGAAUGAUCCAAGGUCCCAGCUUCUGGUCUUGCCGCAGAUCUUCGGCGCUCUCCCUGAAGGCCUCUCCUGGGGCUGGCAGUGCUGUUACGCUUCCCAUGGGUACUGUGACUCUCGUUACCACGGGCACAGUUGAAAGCCUCCUGGGCGAGUUGCUUCCUUGCAGCACUGAGCCCCGUGAGGACCCUGAGAAGUGGCCUGGGAAAGUCUCCAGAAGCUGCAUCUCCUUCCCCUUCUUUGCACCUUGGCGCACAGCCAUAAACCAAGCACUUAACCCGGCACUGGGCUGACGCGGGAAAGGCUAGCCUGCAGAGCGGGUGCACGCGGGUGCUCUGGUGGCAGGAAUGACUCCCGUCUUCCUUCUCCUCCUCCCAGCAGCAGCAGCAGCAGCAGCAGCAGGAUGCCGAACCCUCGACACGUUAUGUUGUGUACCUUAUACAUUACGUCAUGUUCCUUAUACGCGGACUGUGUACGUUACACCGUGUGUCUUAUGCGUGUGCUUUAUGCAUUAGCCGCGUGCUUUGUAUGUGUACUUCACGUGUCAUGCUGUGAACUUGAUACAUAUACUUGAUACGUGAUGCUGCACACUCGAGUUUAUAAGGGCUUUUUUUCCCAAUAGAUCGGGAAGACUUUUCAUGAAGGACAAAAGUAAAGCUCAGGAUUUGUUUUCUUUUUCUAAAAGCAUCUGCCGCGUUCACUUUGGGAGGGAUGUUGCACAUGUUGUCACCUGCUGUCCCCUGCCGGCCGCUUCCUCCCUUUCAGCGCCCUCUUCACGCUACCACCAUCACCAAAACGACAGCCCUGAGAGCUUGCAUGAGGUCAAGGAGAUUAGAGACAGUGCAUUUCAUAUUGAAAUUAGGGAACAUUUACAGCUACUAAGAGUUAGGUUUGGGCUUAUUUUUUAUCAUUGAGACCCAUCACUUACUUGUACCGAGAUAAUGAAUAAGAUGACCUCCAGGGUCAAGGUCAUUAGCGGCCACAAAUAAGCACGUUUAGCUUUUGCAUUCCGAUGGCCUUCAUUGUGCUCCGUGAGCUGAGAACGUGGUCACAGUGAGAAACGCUGACGCCUGCUCCUGAGCUUCUGUGAAGGAGGUGGCCGCCGAGGCCAGAACGCGCAGGUAGAGUGUCUGCCGUGUCGUGUGUGCCGUGUCCUGGUCUCUUACAUCCACUGCAAGCCGCUUAACAUUCCUAAAAAAAUUCGAACAACUGUAUUGAGGUGUAAUUCACCGACCAUAAAAUUCACCCAUGUAAAGUGUACAGUUCGUUUGUUUUUAAUUCAUUCACAGGGUUAUGCAACCAUCGCCGCUAUCUAUCUAAUUCUAGAACCUUUUCUCACCCCCAAAAGAAACCCUAUACGCAUUGCAUUCACUUCUCAUUCUGCCACCGUCCACCCAACCCUAAGCAGCCACUCAUUUAUCUCUGUCUCUGUAGAUUUGCCCGUUUUGGACAUUUCAUAAAAAUGGUAUCAGGGUUCAUCCAGGUUGUAGAAUAUAUGUCUCUUUUUUUGUUUUGUUUUUGUUUUUUUUUUUUUGAAUGGCUGCCCCGCAGAAGUUCCUGGGCCAGGGAUCAGGCAAUGCCAGAUCCUCUAACCCACUGCUGGGGGUCUAACCCAUGCCUCCAUAGUGACCCAAGCUGCUGCAGUCGGAUUCUUAACCCACUGUGCCACAGCAGGAACUCCUAGAAUACAUUCUUUUUUUAUGCCUGAGUAAUAUUCCCUUGUAUGGGUGUAUCACGUUCUGUUAAUGAGUUCCUCCUUCGAGGAAGUUGUCUCUGCGUCUUUGCUGCCAUGAACAUUGGUCCAGGUGUCUGUGUGGACGUGUCCGUUUCUCUUGGCUGAACACCCGGCGUAGAUCAUACUGGGUUGUAGGGUGUACAUCACUGGGUUGUAGGCUGUGAGUCACUGUUUUUUCCUGUGGUGGCACCAGUGCCAGGUCCUUAACCUGCGGCGCCACCAGGGAACGCCUUUCUGUCACCUUUCGAGGAACUGCCAAACUGUUUUCCAAAGGGGCUGUACGACGUUACGUUCCCACCAGCAGGAAACGAAGGUUCUGACUUGUCCACAGCCUCACCAGCACUUGUUUCCAUCUGUCCUUUUGGUCACAGCCAUCCUGGUGUGUGAGGUGGUAACUCGUGGUGGUUUGGAUUUGUGUUCCCUGAGGACUAGUGAUGUUGAACGUCUUUCCUGUGCUUUGGGGCCAAUUUGAUGCCUUUGGAGAAAUGUCUGUUUAAAUCCUUUGUCUGCUUUUGAAUUGGAUUUUGUGGUUUUGUUACUGAAUUGAAAGUGUUCUUUAUGUAUAUUCUGGGUACAAGAUUUUUAGCAGAUAUGCAUGAUUUGCACAUAACCCUCCCAUUGAUGGGUGUCUUUUUACUUUCUUGAGUUUUUUACAGCACAAAAAAUUUGAUAGGUUCACAGCUGAUGUCUUUUUUCUUUUGUUGUUUGGUGCUUUUGGUGUCCUGGCUAAGAAACCGUUGCCUAAUCUGGCAUUACCGAGGUUUACAUCCAUGUUUUCUUCCAGGUUUUGCUUUUAUAAUUUUAACUCUUACUUUUAGGUCUGUAAUCCAUUUGCACUUUGUUUUUGGUGUGGUCCAAGAGUGGGAUAAUGGUCGCACUUUUAUUCCUUUGCACAUGAAUAUCCAGCUGUCUAAGCCCCGUUGAAAAGGCUCUCUUUCCCUUGCGAAUUGUUCUCUUCAGCAUCCUUGUUGAAAAUCACUUGGCGAUAAAUGUAUAGGUUUAUUCCUCAGCUCUGGAUUCUGUUCGGUAGGUUUCUGUGUCUAUUUUUGUGUCUCUCCAUACUGGGUUACUGGGUUACUGUGGCUUCGUAUAGUGUGUUUGAAGCUGUUCAGUCCAAGUGCUCCAACUGUACUCUUCUCUUUCAAGAUGGUUUUCACUGCUCCGCAUUCAGUUAUCAGACUGUCAUUUUCUGCAGUCAAUAGGUAUUCUGUUCAGUCUGUACAGCAGUUCGGGGACUAUUGCCGUCUUAACAACUUUGAGUUUUUUGGAUUAUAAACAUGGUAUAUCUUGCUAUUUAUUUAUGUCUUCUGUGAUUUCUUUCAAUGGUAUUUUGUAGAUUGAUUGCAGUGUAUAAGUCUUGCACUUCUUUUAUUAAAUACAUUACUAAUAUUCUUUUUGCUGUUACAUUAAUGGAGUGGUUUUUCUCUAUUUCAUUUUUACAUUGUUCAUUGCUUGUAUAUAUAUAAAAAAAAUGGGUUAUAAAGUAUUACUCUAGGGA
ensembl:lncRNA